AGCGAACGCUGGCGGCAGGCUUAACACAUGCAAGUCGAGCGGGCAUCCUUGUGGUGUCAGCGGCAGACGGGUGAGUAACGCGUGGGAACGUGCCCUUCGGUUCGGAAUAACUCAGGGAAACUUGAGCUAAUACCGGAUACGUGCGAGAGCAGAAAGGUUUAUCUGCCGAAGGAUCGGCCCGCGUCUGAUUAGCUAGUUGGUGAGGUUAUGGCUCACCAAGGCGACGAUCAGUAGCUGGUCUGAGAGGAUGAUCAGCCACACUGGGACUGAGACACGGCCCAGACUCCUACGGGAAGCAGCAGUGGGGAAUAUUGGACAAUGGGGGCAACCCUGAUCCAGCCAUGCCGGGUGAGUGAUGACGGCCUUAGGGUUGUAAAGCUCUUUUCUCCGGGACGAUAAUGACGGUACCGGAGGAAUAAGCCCCGGCUAACUUCGUG
rnacentral:rRNA from 1 species